rnacentral:lncRNA from 1 species
GAUCCAACUAUGCAAUCUUUUUAAAAUUUGAUUUUACAACCUAACCUUUUAAUUUAUUUGAUUUAAGCCAAAUAGUAACUUUUAACAAAAUUCGAGUGCAUCGUUCUUUCUUUAUGGAUUUAGCCAGUAUAUUUUAUACAAUUUAUGUAACUAUAAAUUUAUUAAAGUAAAUAAUUAGCUUAAAUUUUAUAAAAAAAAACUCAUCAAAUUACUUAUAUCAAAGAAAUUGAAUGAGAAAGAUUUGAUAAUCGAAUCAAAAUGUUCUAUAGUUUAGAUAAGUUUUAUAUAAUUUUAUGAGUAAAAAAUUUAUAAAAUAUAGUAUAUUACGAUGUGAUUAGGCCUUUUUGAAUUAAGGGCGUGUGAUUGUACAUAAAACCAUAAAAAAUAGUUUUUCGUGGAAAGAAAUUUUGGUGGAAAAGAAGUAUUACAUUUUAUAGUGUUUGAUUUGCAGAAAAGAAGUAAUUUUUUAUCCACAUUUAUUUGGCUAAAAAGAAAUAAAAUAUAUAUUUGUUUGGUUUCAUGGGAAAAAUAUAAAUGAGAAAAAGUUUACGCAGUUUGAAUUUUUAUUUUCUGUCAAAAAUUAGUGAAAAACAAAAGCACUCCAUUUUUUUUUUCAAAUUUGUGAAAAUAGUUUUGAAAAAAAAAAUUAUGCCUAAAUAAACGCGUGAAAAAUAAUUUUUUUAGCCAAAAAAUAAUUUUCGAUUCAUUUUACGGCAAACCAAACACAACCUGAGUAGA